UACGUAGGGGGCAAGCGUUGUCCGGAAUCAUUGGGCGUAAAGCGCGUGUAGGCGGCCCGAUAAGUCCGCUGUGAAAGUCCAGGGCUCAACCCUGGGAUGCCGGUGGAUACUGUCGGGCUCGAGUCCGGAAGAGGCGAGUGGAAUUCCUGGUGUAGCGGUGAAAUGCGCAGAUAUCAGGAGGAACACCAAUGGCGAAGGCAGCUCGCUGGGACGUGACUGACGCUGAGACGCGAAAGCGUGGGGAGCGAUCCGG
rnacentral:rRNA from 1 species